rnacentral:rRNA from 1 species
CCUACGGGUGGCAGCAGUGAGGAAUAUUGGUCAAUGGGCUUACGCCUGAACCAGCCAAGUCGCGUGAGGGAAGACUGCCCUAUGGGUUGUAAACCUCUUUUGUCAGGGAGCAAUUGGCGCUACGUGUAGCGUUAUCGAGAGUACCUGAAGAAAAAGCAUCGGCUAACUCCGUGCCAGCAGCCGCGGUAAUACGGAGGAUGCGAUCGUUAUCCGGAUUUAUGGGGUUUAAAGGGUGCGUAGGCGGAAUGCCAAGUCAGCGGUAAAAUCGCGGGGCUCAACCUCGCUCCGCCGUUGAAACUGGUGUUCUUGAGUGGGCGAGAAGUAUGCGGAAUGCGUGGUGUAGCGGUGAAAUGCAUAGAUAUCACGAAGAACUCCGAUUGCGAAGGCAGCAUACCGGCGCCCAACUGACGCUGAAGCACGAAAGCGUGGGUAUCGAACAGGAUUAGAUACCCUGGUAGUC